rnacentral:rRNA from 1 species
UACGAAGGGGGCUAGCGUUGUUCGGAAUCACUGGGCGUAAAGCGCACGUAGGCGGAUUUUUAAGUCAGGGGUGAAAUCCCGAGGCUCAACCUCGGAACUGCCUUUGAUACUGGAGAUCUUGAGUCCGGAAGAGGUAAGUGGAACUGCGAGUGUAGAGGUGAAAUUCGUAGAUAUUCGCAAGAACACCAGUGGCGAAGGCGGCUUACUGGACACAUAUUGACGCUGAGGUGCGAAAGCGUGGGGAGCAAACAGG